GGAUCCUUGGCAGGCAAGUCCUUGGCAGGAGUGGGAAGAGGAAAAAUCCGUAUCAGUUGCUGGUGUUUAAGAGUUUCUAGAUCUAAUGUAUUCUCGAAGGUGGGCAACUCGAUGCUAAAAAAUGGGAAGAAAGAGGCCACAACAUACACCAUUGUGGAUGGAAUGAAGGAAACCUCUUUGAAAUGGUACAGAAUCCUACAGAUGGAAGAGUGGUUUUUCAUGAAGUCCUUUUAUGGUUCUUCUGCUGGAUCAGUGCUUUUUGAGGUAUGAA